CCAGAAAGCCCACGGCUAACUACGUGCCAGCAGCCGCGGUAAUACGUAGGUGGCAAGCGUUGUCCGGAUUUAUUGGGCGUAAAGCGAGCGCAGGCGGUUUUUAAGUUCUUGAUGUGAAAGCCUUCGGCUCAACCGAAGAAGUGCAUCGGAAACUGGGAAACUUAGAGUGCAGAAGAGGACAGUGGAACUCCAUGUGUAGCGGUGAAAUGCGUAGAUAUAUGGAAGAACACCAGUGGCGAAGGCGGCUGUCUGGUCUGUAACUGACGCUGAGGCUCGAAAGUAUGGGUAGCAAACAGGAUUAGAUACCCUGGUAG
rnacentral:rRNA from 1 species